ACAAUGUUCCGCUGCUAAUAAAAUAUUAGGUAUGAGCAUUAG
rfam:Pontibacillus litoralis JSM 072002 contig2, whole genome shotgun sequence.